CACUUACUUCAUCCUGUCUCAUAUGCAUCAUCACCACAAUAGUCUGUCCUUUUGCUGAAACAAGUCUUAACAGGUGCAUUCAUAUAGUCAAAGGUCCACAUCUCCGUAUGACUGAAAUUCUACAGAAAACUUUGAACUGUUUUGCCAGGUGCUGUAUGACUUCAAGUGAGACAAAAGAGACUUUGUCUUUUCAUUUGAGUUUUUCCAAUAGUAUAAUCCUGCAAAAUACAAGUUAUCUUACAUGCAGAUCAGUUCCGGCAGUGGAGUGCCGGCUGAUGUGCUGACGUCUGGGGUGUCGGCUGAUGUGCUUACGAGGAUCUUUUAUCUUGACAGAAGUCUUUUAUAGAGGGUAAAAAUACAGAUACUGUGCGAGUCCUCAGUGAUUCAUGAAGGUCUGAACGUGUUUGUUUUCACCCAGCAGAGGGCGUUCUUCUCAUUUCUGUGGUCCUCAUGUACACAGUGAGCUCAAGACUCAUCAUGGAAGGUCAAAUCUUGCCACAGGGUGGAGCUCCAGACUUAAAUCACAGUGUUUUAGUGAGAAAAGACACAUCCGAGUUUGUCAUUUCACUCCAUCAUGCUGCUCUGUGCACUUGGAAUAUUUGCAGUACUUGCAGGAGACUCUCUUGGUGAUGUAAUAACAUCUCAUGGUUCUGAAAAAGAAGCUCAAGAUGGUAACAGUGUUACUCUCUCCUGCAACUACAGCGGUGUUGUUUACAAUCUACUGUGGUAUCGUCAGUAUCAGAGAUCCAAACCAGAACUCCUUCUCUCCAUCAGUGAAUCUGGAGAUGCAGUUAAAGCAGAUCCAUCAGCCCACUGGUUUUCUCCUAAAGUUGACAAACUCAGAAAGCUCAUGGAACUGGAAAUCAGUCCUGCUAAAGUAUCAGACUCUGCUCUGUAUUACUGUGCUCUGGUGCCCACAGUGACAGGAAACUCUUUUCCUCAGUACAUAAUCUUUCUGCAUAUUAGUCAUGCUUUUCUUUGAUGUUUAACAAGCACAUGUAUUCUGUGUGUUGUUUCUGUGACUAAAUCAGUCAUCAGUAACUCAAGAACCUCUUUUAAUGAAUUCAAGUAGGCCUACCAACACAACACACAUUUCUAUAGAGAACAGCAAAGGCUGCCAAUCAAAAACCAUAAAAUUAAAGUAAAAUCUCCUUAUUUAAAUAAACUGAAAACACUGUCACAUGACCAGCAGCAACAGAACAUUAAACACUAACAGAUCUGUCUAGAUCUCAGCAUCUUUACUUAUUACAAUCUAGUUUGACUAUUUCUUUCAAACAAAACUUUUAGAUGUUGAUGUUUUAUUGAAAAUAGUCAAGUUUGACGUGACCGUUAUGGAGGUGAGCAUUUGCUUUAGUUGGGCUCCUGACCCUUGACUUCCUUACUUUAUUGUUUUUUUGACUGCUGUAACUGUGUUUUUGAAAUACAUCUGUUAUAGAAAAAUUUACAAAAAGAAAUUCUGGUUAGAAGAAGCUGUUUGUUUAUUGAUGACUCUGUCAUCAUACAGUGGUCAGAUUCAAGAAGAUUUACAUUUCACAAAGUAUGAUUUAGAAUAUUUUCAUUUGGUAGUCAUUUCUGCUAGUCAUCAACCUUUUUUUUUUUUUUUAACAAUCUUUAACUGUUUUUUAUAUUAAUGGUAAAUGUGUGGCACUCUGUGGUGCCAAAUUUAUUGUUGUAUUUUAAAAGUGUGGGCCUAGUGAGGGCUGCCCAUGCAGGGCAAGCGCUAAGGGGCCAACAUUUUGCCAAUGAGCAAAUUCUCAGGGCCCCUGCGCUGGCAGCCUGCUUGGGGCCCGUAAAGGGCCAGUGCAGGCUUGUUUGCAGGGAUUAUUUAUAUCCACAUAAUCAAGCAUUUCAAACUCUCCUUCAGAUUUCUUCUCAGCAAUUUUUAAGCUGGCCAUGUUUAUUUUUCCAACAAAAAUGAACUAACAACCUAUUAAUCUCCUUACAAGUGAAAUCCUGAACAAAUAAAGAAAGGCCAGGGAAAAUAAAUUUAGAUAAACCUUCGAUAUAGGACUCUGCCUAAAGUACACAGAUCUCUACGUAACCAAUUAUCAAUUUUGUUUUCUUAAACCAAAAGCAAUUUUGUUUUUUAACUUUCUCCACAGCAGACUUCCCAACAGUCAAAGCGGCAUUACGUCACAAAAGUGUGGACUUGGAGGAAGACCACAAGAGCUUAGGAUUCCAUUUGGGACAGGGCCUAUAAAGACUCCAUUACAGAAGUAAAUCAUAUUGCCAGAAGGCGGAGCUUAAUAUCAAGAUGUAGAAGCAUUUCAAUCUGAAGGAGGUUGUCAGAAUUCAAAGGCAUCCAGUCUGAAUGAUACUCAAGUCUUUCAGAUUCUUCUUCAGAUAUCUGCUAUCA